rnacentral:rRNA from 1 species
UACACUUUAAAUCCUUUAACGAGGAUCUAUUGGAGGGCAAGUCUGGUGCCAGCAGCCGCGGUAAUUCCAGCUCCAAUAGCGUAUAUUAAAGUUGUUGCGGUUAAAAAGCUCGUAGUUGGAUCUCGGUUUCACUCAGGUGGUACACCUUGCGGUGUUCACUAUCUGGGUGGACGUUUCUGUUGGUUCGCUCUUGGUGCUCUUCAUCGGGUGCCAUUUGGUGGCCAGCACGUUUACUUUGAAAAAAUUGGAGUGCUCAAAGCAGGCGUUACAGCCUGAACAUUAGUGCAUGGAAUAAUGGAAUAGGAUCUCGAUUCUAUUUCGUUGGCUUUCGGAGUCGAGGUAAUGAUUAAUAGGGACAGACGGGGGCAUUCGUACUGCGACGUUAGAGGUGAAAUUCUUGGAUCGUCGCAAGACGAACUACUGCGAAAGCAUUUGCCAAGAAUGUUUUCAUUAAUCAAGAACGAAAGUUAGUGGUUCGAAGGCGAUCAGAUACCGCCCUAGUUCUAACCAUAAACGAUGCCAACCGGCGAUCCGUCGUCGUUAAUUGAAUGACUCGACGGGCAGCCUCCGGGAAACCAGAGUGUUUGGGUUCCGGGGGAAGUAUGGUUGCAAAGCUGAAACUUAAAGGAAUUGACGGAAGGGCACCACCAGGAGUGGAGCCUGCGGCUUAAUUUGACCCAACACGGGAAAUCUCACCAGGCCCGGACACCGGAAGGAUUGACAGAUUGAGAGCUCUUUCUUGAUUCGGUGGGUGGUGGUGCAUGGCCGUUCUUAGUUGGUGGAGCGAUUUGUCUGGUUAAUUCCGAUAACGAACGAGACUCUGGCCUACUAACUAGAAGGUCUAUCCUUUAUGGGUAGGCCUCUGCUUCUUAGAGGGACGGGCGGCGUUUAGCCGCACGAGAAUGAGCAAUAACAGGUCUGUGAUGCCCUUAGAUGUUCUGGGCUGCACGCGCGCUACACUGAAGGAAUCAGCAUGUUCUCCCCUCCCUGAAAAGGGCGGGUAACCCGUUGAAACUCCUUCGUGAUGGGGAUUGGAGAUUGUAAUUAUUCUCCAUGAACGAGGAAUUCCCAGUAGGCGCGAGUCAUCAGCUUGCGUCGAUUACGUCCCUGCCCUUUGUACACACCGCCCGUCGCUACUACCGAUCGAGUGAUUUAGUGAGGACUUCGGACUGGUCUUCAAGUUGGCUUCGGUCGGCUCGAAGUUCCGGAAAGAUGCCCAAACUUGAUCACUUAGA